GAAAUGAUAGCACAAUUCCGCAUUCAGCGUUUUUUAAAAAUAAAAAUACUUAUAUUGUCGUAGGUGAUACAUAUUUCCUCCGAAAAAAAGAUAAAACGUCGAGUAACACGUAGAAAGCGCGGGUGAUGAAAAAUGGUGUAUAUAUUGUAUUUGGUACCUUUCUAUCUAUUUUUAAACGGAAAAAUGUUUUGGCACUAAUCCAGAAUAUCUGCGUUGAUCUCGCGUAGUUGAGCAUGCAGUACGCCUCUGCUGCGUUGCAAAUUUUCCUUUGUACGAGAGUCAUCAGUUUACACAAAAGGAUAAAUACAUCCUCGCGCCUGAUUAAGAAGAAAUAAAUUCGCUACUUUGCCGCCGGCCUCGUACAGGUAACCAGAACUUAAUUCUUUUUAUUACUACUUAUCAUAGUAUUCCGAGAUAAAUUUAGACGGCUAAUCUAGCCGGCAACUAGGAGCUAUUACUAAACAUGACACACGUUUUCCAGAACCUCAAUUUACGUCGCGUGUGCGCAACAUCCGUGAAGGCUCUGUUAUGAUAGCAAAAAAAUAUGUUUACAGAUUUAUUGGAUUUCCUAUUUCGUAGAAAUACGGGUUAGAUUUAUCAAAUCUGUCAUGGGCUAAAUAUAAAUUUCAGAUGUAUCAGCAUUUAAAGGUAUUAAGGGCAAAAAAAUAAUCUUGUUGAAGGAAAUCCGUAUGAAAAGAAGAUAUAUAUAUGCACAUGCAUAUAUACAACAGCAAUCUAUAUAUGAUUACAGGCAAACUGCUGUGAGAAAAAUUAAUCCUGGACUUGUCAUUCUAAAUUUCUACAAUUUCUCUCUUUCUAUCUCCUCUGCGCCUGUAUGUAUUCCAUAUAUCGUCGCGUAUUUGCAAGCGAGGUAUUAUAUUCACGUUUGUCACAUAUUUGCAUAAAUAAAUGCAUGCGCAUUAGUGCUUUAAUGCAAUGAUAUAGCUUCACUCGCACAGCAUUUAAUUAGAAAAAUAACAGAUAAUGCUUCUCGUAUAAAAAAUGCUGUUGAAAAUAUUGAAUCUCUAUUUUUUACAUUUUAUUCUUUACCUAUGAUUAAGAAUAAAAUAACAUUUUCUCAUUAGUUAAAUAAAUGUUAAAUCACAAGUGUAUGAUAUAUUCAUACACUGAUUUAUACUACAUUCAAUUAAUUAUUAAUAUAUAAAAGUAAUAUAUAUAUUAUAUAAAUAUGUAUUAUUUUAAUAAUAAUAUAUAAUAAUAUAUAUAACGCCGUAAUAUAUUAAUAUUAACAAUAUUUUAAAUACUAAUAAUUUACCAUUAAAUAUUAUAAAAUAAUAACUGCUGCAGUAAUUACAUUGCAUUUGCAUGUACAAUUCAAGAUAAAGCAUUUGCUUCCGUUUUGAUAAUUUACACUUUUACGUUAUCUCUUUCUUAUCAUAUUAUUCAUACACAACGACCUAUUUGAAGAACACGUAAUCAAUAAGCUUUAUCGUUAUCUCCUUUAUCUGUGUGUAAUUAAUCAUGUAUUCAACACAAGGCACUAAAGACUAUCUUGAGGACACGUGUGUAAUAAUGUCAAACUCUCUUUUCGUGUUCACACAGGCAUUACGGCUGUAACGCAAGAGUGAUAACAUGCAAAUCCGCGUUACUAUACAUAUACCGCGCUACGUUCCGCACCGCAUUCCAACUGCCGCUUCCGUUCUGGUUCCACGUGCCACCGCCGCGUCGUUUUGUUUCCAGAACGUGUAUGGCAUGGAGCCAACAGCGGGCUAGUCCGCAAUCAUAUCGUCCGCAGAAUAUCAAAUUAUCCGGGGGUCUUCCCUGCAUCGAAACUUGGAACGCGUAAAUCACGGUGGAGCGAGUUAAACGCGUGGUUCCAGAGGAUACCGAUACCCAAUCGUUUCGUCCACGCGACAGACAGAUUGCCGUCCGAUAUUACGCUCCACAGGCUGUACGGUCCAUAAACCACGUCCCCGAAGCGUCAUAGAAGAAACCGUCAUAAACAGGACGUCGCCAUAAAUCCAUAACGCCACCGUCGGCCAUUUGUUCGUGCGAAUCGCCUAUAAAGUGUUGGUAUAACUCCGACAGAUAAGGUGCAUCCCUAUCGGGGCGGGGGAGAAGGUGGGAUGCGACCUUGAGACCAUGCUGGCCCGUAAAACGUAUAAUGAUCGACUCCGAGAUCGAGUGAGCGACCACGAGAUCCUGCCAUCCAUCACCGCGGCUGACAAUGCGUAAGAAAUACGUGGAGUCGAGCGCGACGCGAGAGAUUCGACCAAGGGGACAGGCUGAUAAAUGAAGCUGAUGUUCGCAGAGCGGUAUCCCCAAUCGUCGCCGGAUGGAAGAUGGGGCGAUUCGAAUACGCUCGGCGACAUCGUCGAUCCUACUAUGGUAAGUCUCCGCAACGUCUGUAGCCGUCGGGAGGCGACAGCUGCAACCGUUCUUAAGCACUUAGCGAACAAUAGCGCGGGUCGAGGACGAAGAUGGCGAAGGUGGUGAGCGCAUGGCGAGACGAGCUGUGAAAACGCCGAGACAGGUGGAGGAGGGUGGCAGGGUGGCAGGUAAUCGAAAGCAGGUACGUGCCGCAACCUGUUCUAAAUUCCGACGAGAAAUGUGAUCCGAGAUGAAGCAUCUCCCGCGGUUCUUACGUGCGUCGGUUUGGAAAUAGGAGCAGAAGCUCCGCGGCUCACGCUACUUCCCGUGUUCGCCGCUCGCGCGUCGUCUGGAGACCGAAAUGGUCCUCGGACGAUGGAAAAAGGAAGAGACGCGGGAAUGUGCACAGGAGAGCACUGACGGAGUGAGUAAACACUUCUUCCUCGGUGUACUUAACGAAGACGGCACUUCGAAGAAAACGGAAAGCAGUGGGCGGGAAAACUCGACGCGCCUCGAGAGUGUCCUCGAAGAUGAAAAACCAAUGCUCGCGCGUCAUUACGUGAUGUUCUGCGAUUUACAGUACGAUUGCUUCUAAAACGAAAAUCGAAUCGGAUUUUAAUCGAAAGUGACCUGCUCCGGGCGUGGACUGGAAUUAUUGUAUGGGACGGGAGAAUGGCACUCUGCAGAGUACGGCGCCGGAUACUCCUCGUAAAAAGGUAUACGCCCCGCACAAAGGCAAUAAAUCCCGAAUUGAUGAACUAGCUAACGGAUAAAUCGAGUUAUAUAUAAUAGCCAAGUCCGGCCAAGUCAAGGGAGAUCGCGUCUUGGAGGGGUUCAAAGCUCCUAAUCCGCAAAUAGAAUCUCUAAAUGCAGCCUUCAAAGGAGGAGUAUAGAAGCCGCUGGAAAUUCGAUUGCCACUCGAGCCGCAGAUUACGUCGCAUCUGCGUACACUCUCGCAUAGCGCGACCCAAAUGGCAACGGCACGUACGAUAAAACACGUAACUACGUCAACGGAAUACAUAAUGUAUAAUGCUAAAUUUUUUUUAUCUAUUUUAUACAAUGUGAUUAAAAAUAUAAAGUACCUGAGAAAGAACCGAAUAAGGUCCAACACGAUAAAUAAGAUCCAAUUUAGAAUAUACCACUUAAAAACGCGUUUUACGCCUACGUGUAUGUUUAAAAAAUGUGUCAUAAGAAGUACAUGAGAAAAAAAAUGCUUUGUUGCAACAACAAAUAAUUUAAUUAAAAUGUAUCAAAUUAUUUAUUAAUAUAAAUAAAAUUUUCUUUAUUUACAUGCAUUUCGUAAAAUCAGUUAAAAAUGUCUUGUUAUAUAUAAAACAAAAUUCAUAAAUUUACCUUCAGCAAAAACUGUUUAAUUAACACAUUUUUAAAAUAGUAAAUACUUUGUUUCAUAUAGUAAAAAAUUUAAUUGCUUCUGCAAAAUACAUUUAAAUAAAAAAAUUUGUUUAACUAAAUUAUUUGUUAUUACGAUAAAACAUUUUUUUUAGUGUAGAUAAAAAGAAGCUGGGAAAUUGUGAAACCGGUAGUAACGCAUUUACUUAAAUAAACUUGUGACCAAAUGGGGACAUGAGCCGUUUUUAUAAAAAUUCACUACAAAGUUUAUUAAGUGCACAUUACAUUUCUAUGGUUUAUUAUAAAAUAUUAUUAUAUUAUUUAAUUUUCUAACUAUAUAAAAAUAUAUAAAUAUCGAAUUGUUGAAAUAAUUAUAUUUGUUCAGAGACCUACUUAUAAGUACACAGAAAAGAAGAUAAGUUGCUGCAAUAAAACACUGUAUGUGAUAACUAAAUUUGUAUACAUAGCUAAAAUUUAGCUACCAUGUACAAAUUUUUAUUGCUGCAACUAAUUGCAACUAAUUUUUUUCCGUAUAUGUUAUUUGUUUGUCUUGCGUAAAGCUUGCACCAGAAGAUAACAAUUUUCAACAUUGCUAACGUUUGUAAAACUAAAUUUGCACUGUUAAUGGCUAGAAAUUUCUAAAAAUCGAAAAAAUUAAUUAAAAACCAAAUUAAAAAUAAUUGUGACAUUUAAGAGUAAAAUAAACCCUAAAAAAUUUUGUUUUUGUAAAUAAUAAUCAUUUUAUUAAUUUAGAAGAUAAUGUUUAAUUUCUCUAUUAUAUUUAAAUUUAUUUUCGAUUUGGACCUUAUUAUACUUAUAAGCAUAAUAAAGUUCAAUGUCUGUAUUUAAAAAUAUUCUUUUUGUUUAUUUGCAAAUAUAUCUAUAUAAAAGAUAUACCUUUUUAUCUUAAAAAAUGAUUAAAAUAAAGAUUUUGUUCUCACUCAGUUUAUUUUAAUGUCGCCAAGCAUAAAAUUAAAAAAACAAAUAAAAUUAAUUAAAUUUCUCUGAUAUAUUCGGCUCUAACUUAUUCUCAGUUCGCUGGCUUAUAUACGAAUUUAAAGCAACUAGAAAUUCAUGUUCCGUUGUGGACGUUCUCGCGGUUAAAGUCACUGAAUAUGUAUGCACGAGUAAACUUGCAUCAAUGAGGUUCACGAAACUUUUGCGAAUCCUUAUCAGUCCUUUAUGCGUUUAUUCAAUGAUCGUUUCGAAAGUUAGCCAGCAAGGGUAUAUUAACUACGCGAAUUUAGACAAAGGGAUGCCUUAAGGGAAUUUUAGUGGCCUAUGUAAAUGUGAUUAAUCUAGUAAAAUUUGCUGAAGUCUUCAAAUAUAAUUAAAUUGGAAUUUGUGAGUCUUAAAUGCACACGAGGAAGUAAAGAUGAACGACAAAGCAGUUUUGAAAUAGUGCAAAAGAAGAACAGUACCUCAAACGAAUAAAGUAACAAAGACAAAUACUGAAGCUGAUAAAAUCUCCCAGAUGCAACUGAUUAAACUGAAUUCUUGUCAGUUCCUUUUCCAGUCCUUUUUAUUUAGUUUUUUAUUGUUACUUGUUUGACUUCGUCUUCUAUCAAGGAAGAGAAUUUUAUUCUAGCACAGUCAAGUCGUACGUACCGCAAAAGUCGAUAAAAAGCUCUAAAUUCUGAAUGUCUGUCAGUUUUAACGGCAAUACGCAGUAAGGCACACGAUUCCCGUUAUUAUCGUUUCACACGUAUUCGAUGACGCUGCAAACCGUCAGACUUAAGCACGGAAACGUUCGCUGACAUGAGAAAACGGAGAGAUUUUCCACGUACGUACCGAACAAUGAGCGUAGGACGGAGUGAUCCCGGCGGUAAUCCGAAAGUUCCCAAUUCUGGCUUUCUUUAUCCGGAAUUAAACCGCCGCCGGCAACGGUAACGAGAAAACACGUCUCGGUGAUGGACACUGUAACUCGUCGGGUAGAACUGCAGGAAAAUUAUUUGCCAAACUCUGUCUCUAAAGCGCAGCAGAGUGAAAUUUUUGCGGUCAACGUCCGGUUCUCAUCGAGCAAAAUGCUCAGAUUCUCCAGCGUGUAUACGUGUACACACAACCGCGCGACCACCGCGCUGAAGUUUAACAGCUACAGCGUUUGUAGUAUGUACAGUUUGUAAUUAAAGGACAGAUUAAUUCUCAGCGAAUCGCAUUCCCUGCUCGUCGAAGACACGAAAGCCACGUUAAUUUACCCUCCCCCCCUUCCCUCAGCGAGUUUCCAUAAUACUGAAAAAUACCUGCGUUUUGCGUAUCAUGCCAGAUAAUGUCGAGGCGACGAAGUCGAAGAAACCUCUCCGUGCCGCUCGGAUUUCGCUCGCUUCGUCUCUCUGUCUUCGCCAGAUUAGAUGUCACCGACUGUGAGUCGGUCGUGUAUCUCUCCACCCCUCGUGUGUUAUCCAGAGAUCUACUCUUGCCCUUUUUUUUACCGACUGCCUUUUCACCUACGACCCUCGGAACCACCUAUCACGCUACUCUUUGUCAAAGGGAAAGUCUAUCGUUACGCAAAAGCGCGCAGCCAGAUAUAAUUAAUUUUCGUGUUCGAUUAAAAUUAUACGUCACGUUGGACGAAAUAUCUGAAAGGUCCCGCAUUCCAAAGGGCAGCUUUGAAUAAUUUCCAAGUUGAAUAAAUGCGAACUCUCCAUCUUCCUCGCAGAGUUAAAAUUAAAUUUCGCAAAUUGAAAAUUCAGAAUAUCAAGGGAGAGUUUGCGAAAAAAAAAGGAAAUAACGUUACGAAAAAUUCAUCAGUCAUUUUGACAGACUGCAUGUUCCACGUUUCAAAGUUAUUCCUACUUUUUGAAAUUAACUGAAAUCAGAUUCCACGUCUGACGGUACAUUUUGUAAUCAAAUAGUGUUCUAUAGAGUAGAGCUAGCAGGCUUUGCCGACGGCUGUGAACCGCGACUAACGCAUUAACCCUAUCUCAUGGCACAUUAGUAAUACGAGCGAUCGAAUGUUUAACGAAUCCCGUUAAAAGCUAUGUGGGAACGUAUCUGUUUCCAGUCGAUCAGAUCAAACAGUAUAAUAUUAAUUCGUACACUGGAAAUAAGCUAGAGUAAGUAGAUCGGAUGUGAUGAUUAUUAAAUGAGGAACGCGAACGUUGGAAUAUUUAAUCCGUUUAAAUUAAUUAACGCACUCUCCCGUGUAUAUUGAACUACUGACAUUUAGUAGUAACCUGCUUCUGUACAAUUAAGAAUAGUUAUUACACUGCCGUUGUCUCGUGUAAAUAAGAGAAUGUUUAUUAAUUAAUUUAUUAAUAAAUGAUUAAUUAAUUA